UACCCCACUAUGCCUAGCCAUAAACCUAGAUGUAAUCAUCCGCCCGGGUACUACGAGCGCAGCUUAAAACCCAAAGGACUUGGCGGUGCCUCAGAUCCACCUAGAGGAGCCUGUUCUAGAACCGAUAACCCCCGUUAAACCUUACCAUCUCUUGUUAAACCCGCCUAUAUACCGCCGUCGUCAGCUUACCCUGUGAAGGCUUAACAGUAAGCAAAAUGAGAAUACCCCAGAACGUCAGGUCGAGGUGUAGCGUACGAGAUGGAAAGAAAUGGGCUACAUUUUCUACUACAGAAUACCACAGAUAGCGAAUUGAAACAAACGCUUGAAGGCGGAUUUAGCAGUAAAAAGCAAGCAGAGUGUACUUUUGAAAUAGGCUCUGAGGCGCGCACACACCGCC
rnacentral:rRNA from 1 species